GUUUCCUAUCUAAAACUAUAAUACAUGUAUGUCAAAUUUACCAAAUGUUUGCCAUCCAAUAGCCGAUGAUUAAUAAAUCAAUAUGUCAUUAAACAGUACAAACUGCACAUACAUGUACAUGUCAAGGUCAUUAGAUGGCUUAUCGAAUUUCGAAUUGGGUCCCAGGGGAGGAGUGAAUUUUAUUACAGUUGUCUGUGUAGAAAUGCAUUUAAACUAGUCUUCACAACUAGUAGAACAUGUCGAAACUAAAUUUAGUGGAGAGAUUGAUUGACCGACCUAUGGUGAAACAAUCAUUAAUUUGGUCAUUCUCUCCCCCCCUCUCCACCAUCCACCCCCCAAUCCUCUUCAGAUCAAUGGUUGUCAUGCAUUCCGGGAGUCUGGUAGGUGGGGUCAACAGUUUCUCGGGUUUCGGGGAGUAUGGUAGGUGGGGUCAACAGUUACUCAGGUUUCCGGGAGUCUGGUAGGUGGGGUCAACAGUUACUCAGGUUGCCGGGAGUCUGGUAGGUGGGGUCAACAGUUUCUCGGGUUUCCGGGAGUAUGGUAGGUGGGGUCAACAGUUACUCAGGUUUCUGGGAGUCUGGUAGGUGGGGUCAACAGUUUCUCGGGUUUCCGGGAGUCUGGUAGGUGGGGUCAGCAGUUACUCAGGUGACCAUUUUGUGCCCUUGUUUUGUCCAUUGUAUUAUUUUGUUUGUUUUGUUUUUCAGUUUGUGUAGGCUACAUCAGUUUGCCAUUGUUCGUUGUACAUGUAUGUUUCUAUAUUACAAAUGUAUUUAUGUCAACUGGAAGAAGCAGCUAUAUCAAACAGCUGAUUUACUGCUAUGCUGUUAAUUAUAAACAAAUCUUUAAAAAGGAAUCAAAAUUAAAAAGAAAAUUCACAAGA